CGGGGUAAGAGGAGGGGGAGGGCGCGGAGCCCUGCCGGCGGCCAGAGGACCGGCGGGCGCUGACUGCGACCACCGCUCUCGGGCAGCGGACGCGCUUUGGAAGAUGAGUGGAAAACUACAAUAAAAAAAACAUAGCCAUGAAAAUAAGUGAGAUUAAAACCUGCCGGCUUCACUUCCUGGAGGCUUUUUGUUGGGUCUUGAAACUAGGAGUCUUUGCGGGUCAUCCUCGAACAUGUGGGCUCCUAGACACUCCUGCGGGCAGCGCUGGGUCUCCAGUGCCAAGCAGGGUGCCUGGCUCCUUUGCAAGUGAAUGAACGGACCCUGAAGCAGAAGCUGCCUCCUAAUCAGUCAAGGAGCUGGAUUUCUCAGCUUUCCAUUCUUAGGCGGUGUUGUCAUCAACCUGUGGAGAGAAACUGGAUUUAUCUGGGGGGUAAGGAAAUUCAUUCUCCCUGGCUUUAUAUAUUUUCCAACCCACAGUGUCGGAUCGGCUAAAUAUUAGUGGUCUUUAGUUUCUUUAUGUGAUGUAUACCACUUGUCACUGUUUAAUGUAAUCUUAUGUCAUUUAAAGGUUAAAUUAUAGGGUAACUAGAAAGCGACAAUAAUACAAUCUUAAGCACAAUCAUUUAGAGGAAGAUUUCCCGCUAAAACUUGGUUAAAAUAAAUUUGAGAAAGAUGCAGUUCAGUUCAUUCAACAAAUUUGACUUUGUGACAGAUCGAACGUAGUCUGUUGUAUUUAAUAAGAAUUCAGCCCAUAAAGGAAGAUUUAAUGACAUUAAUGAAAUUAGCUUUAUGUAUUAAUGGAACUGAAGGAGUCAACUCUAAAAGCGAAUGUUCUCUAAACCUAAAUAUUUUAUACUCAAGAAAAUCCGCUGGGAACUUCCCUGGUGGCGCGUUGGUUAAGAAUCCACCUG